rnacentral:lncRNA from 1 species
CGGGCAGGCUCCUUAUCGUGGAUGCAGGAGAGGGACCACCAGAAAGGCCCCACCAAAAAAAAAAGCACAUCUGGGCAGAGAGUGUCGGAACAGAAGAGCUAUGUUGUCCCUUGCACCUUGAAGUGAUGAGCAUUGGCAGAUCUCCUGAUCUCAGCCUGGGGCUGCUGACGGUUCAGGUCCAUUUCAGAGAGAGAGAGAGAGCAACAUGCAUGGGGUGAACCUCAAAAGAGAAAAUCUGUGAGUCUUAGGUUUUCCUCUGCUACUCCUCAGCCUCUCGUGCGUUCUGUUUGUUCAUCUCUCUCUCUCUCCUCUCUUGUAGCUGAGACAGGCUGUCUAGACAUUGCAGAUGUGGACAGAUGUUGGGUCUGUAAUUUAUAACAACGGCCUCCAGAAGGCAAUUCCAAUUUGUUUCGGUAAGGCUUUGAGUUACAGGCAGAAAAAAUAUCCUGUAAAUACCGUUGACUUACAUGGUAACUACACCAAGGGUUUACUUAGUGAACAAUCACUAACUAUAGCGUAAUUACACAUCCCUGCAGAUUACUGGAGAAUUUAGUGUCACUGAGCAGGCAAUGACCACCAAAUCGAAGUCCUGGCUCUGGGAAGGACUGGAAAAUAAGGGCGUUGACCCACACUUAGUAGGAAUUUAUUUCUAUUUCUUCAAAUUAUCAAUUAUCUUCUAACCCGAGGAUCCUUUCAGCCUUAUCUAUGUCAUAGAUAACCCUGACUAUCAUACCAAACUCCAGGCAAGUGCAUGCUGGUUGUAGUUUUCAACUGAUACAUGUUUAGACCAUACAGUAUCUGGAGGUACUCACAAAACCCUCAGACAAGCAUGAGGCUAGGGAUUUACUUCCUGAUUAUUAUAAAGGGCUCCACAGUCAGCAGCAGGGCUGAAGGACCAUCUUCACUUUGUCCUGGUGACCGAUGGUUCAACAGCUGUCCAGGACAACAAUGAAGCUGACUGGACCACCCACAUUGUGAAGUCUAUUCUGGUCCUUCUAGCUGGAAAUGGAAAGGCACGGUUUUAGAAUAAUUUCUCAAGAAUUUCAGGUUGCUUCUUACUCCUAUCUGGGGUGGUAUGAGUGUGUCAGGGGACGGGGGACGGGGGUGCGGGGGGACAGGCUGGUAUUAAGACUUGUCGUAUGCAAAGAAGUUAAGUGGUCUAACCUUGAUCUCAGUGCAGGCAUCAGAAGUCACGUGUGCAUGGGGGGGGGGGUGUCUGUCAUCCUUGAGAAUUCUGACCAGCUGGUCCCUUUGGGAUUAGGGGAUCAGAACUGGCUGGCAGCUGGGAGCUCUGGCUUCUCUGGAUGUAUAGGGUUGCAGCUGAAAUAGCCAUCAAGGUUGUCUGGCUGGGUGUCGGGGAAAGAAGGUGGGAAUAAGGGGGAGGGUAGAGAAAUGUGGAAAUCAAAUGAGCACAUUGGCAGUGUUGUACAUCAAUUCUUACUCCAUCACCAACCUCUUCCAGUUGAUUUGUUUCAUAUAAUCUUCCCUUCCCCCCUCACCUGUCCAGAGACAAUCAAAUAAAACUUAAGCUUAAUGCAUUUCUAGUCACAGACCCCUCAGUUUCUACAGACCCUGAAACAGAUGCCUCCUGCCUCUUUAAGAACAGAUAUUGCUUAAAGAAUCCUGGUUCUUUGUGACUGUUGUCUGAAUUCUCUUUCUUCCUGGCUCCUGCUUAUGGUAUGUUUGGUAGACACCCAACUAGAGUGAUAUCUUACCCUUACCCAAAGAAGACGUCUACUUUCCUAUGUAAGUAGCUUCAGCUUCAGCACCAAGUGCCAGUAAGGAAAGCUACUGGAGCCAAAGAAGAGAAGUGAGAUUAUAAUGGAAGGUCCACUGACUGCCCUGGCAAGCACUGGCCACAGGAUUGACCUCCAUCCUGCCUAGGAGAAAAGAUGUUAGCAUCAAAGGAUGGAUUUAGGAAGAGGUUUGUGCCUUCCAAGUUUAAAGUUUUCUGCCUGCGCUGUGUGGUGAAUUUAAAGCCACUAUGGGAGACAGUGAAACUAUGUCUCAAAUGAACUGACAAACGUGAAACUAUGUCUCAAAUGAACUAACAAACAGGAAAGUUCUGUACCUGUGGAUGGAGCGCUGUCAGUAAAGUGUUUUCUUAUUACCCUGCAGGUAUGAAGAGUUCCAUCCUCAACACUGCAUAAGCCAGAUGUAUUGGCACAUGUCCAUAACCUCAGCAGUGAGGAGCUGGGAGCAGGAAGAUCAGAAAGAGUUCAAGGUUAUCCUCAGUUAUGUAACAAGUGUAAAGCCAGCCUACUAUCUAGGAGAUACUAAAGAUAGAAUACUAGGGCUGGAGAGAUGGCUCAGCAGUUAAGAGCACUGACUGCUCUUCCAAUGGUCCCGAGUUCAAAUCCCAGCAACCACAUGGCAGCUCACAACCAUCCUUAAUGAGAUCUGACUCCCUCUUCUGGAGUGUCUAAAGACAGCUGCAGUGUACUUACAUAUAAUAAAUAAAUAAAUCUUUUAAAAAAUAGAAUACUAUUUUUAAAAAUUAGUAUUUGAGGAUUAGAAAGAUGGCUCAGUGGUUAGGAGCACUGACUGCUCUUCCAAAGGUCCUGAGUUCAACUUCCAGCAGCCACAUGGCCACUCAUAAUCGUCUUUAAUGGUAUCUGAUUCCUUCUUCUGGUGUGUCGGAAGAAAGCAACAGUGUAGUCAUAGACAUAAAAUAAUAAAUAAAUCUUUAAAAAAAAUA